UGCAGUCGAACGCACAGCGAAAGGUGCUUGCACCUUUCAAGCGAGUGGCGAACGGGUGAGUAACACGUGGAUAACCUGCCUCAAGGCUGGGGAUAACAUUUGGAAACAGAUGCUAAUACCGAAUAAAACUUAGUAUCGCAUGAUACAAAGUUGAAAGGCGCUACGGCGUCACCUAGAGAUGGGUCCGCGGUGCAUUAGUUAGUUGGUGGGGUAAAGGCCUACCAAGACAAUGAUGCAUAGCCGAGUUGAGAGACUGAUCGGCCACAUUGGGACUGAGACACGGCCCAAACUCCUACGGGAGGCUGCAGUAGGGAAUCUUCCACAAUGGGCGAAAGCCUGAUGGAGCAACGCCGCGUGUGUGAUGAAGGCUUUAGGGUCGUAAAGCACUGUUGUAUGGGAAGAAAUGCUAGAAUAGGGAAUGAUUUUAGUUCGACGGUACCAUACCAGAAAGGGACGGCUAAAUAC
rnacentral:rRNA from 1 species